GGUUCAUUGCAGCAUUACUUACAACAGCAAAAAAGGUGAAAGCAACUCAAGGGUCUAUCCACAGAUGAUGAAUAAAGAAAAUGUGAUACAUACAUACAAUGGAAUAUUAUUAAGCCCUAAAAAUGAGAGAAACCCUGUCACAUACUACAACCUGGAUGAAACUUGAGGACAUCAUGCUAAGUGAAAGACAACUGGCUUGACAGGUCUCAGCCCUUAGAUGGUCAUCACGCUCCCACAAAGGAAUUGGCUCCUCAACAUUGGUUUAUCAACCUCAGAUGCCUCUGACUCCUGCCUCAGAAAGAUGAGAAUUUAACCCACUAACCAAUGCCCACCCUUCACCCUAAUCCUCUUUAUUUUUAGUCAUGACAAUUAUCAGUUAUUCUACUGGUUAUCUUUUUUUCUAAAAUAUUUUUAAAAUUUAAAUUUAUUUAUUUUUUAAGUGAAGGAUAAUUGCUUUACUGAAUUUUGUUGUUUUCUGUCAAACCUCAACAUGAAUCAGCCAUAGGUAUACAUAUAUCCCCUCCCUUUUGAACCUCCCUCCCAUCUCCCUCCCCAUCCCAUGCCUCUAGGUUGAUACAGAGCCCCUGUUUGAAUUUUCUGAGCCAUACAGCAAAUUCCAGUUGGCUGUCUAUUUUACAUAUGAUUGUUUCUAGGAGCUAAACAUCAGCCCGCUGUGCUAACACCAUUGAGACUUUGCCAGUGCGUUUCCUCCAUGUGGCGGUACUGCAUUCACCAUGCCGUGGGUCCACGGAUGCAAGAGUUGACCUUUCAGGAGCCCAAAUGGACGGAAACAACAGCUUUACCAGGAUCACAGGGAGCUCGCCAAAGGAAGGAGGCAUGCUCACCCUCAAUGCAGUGGGGCCACUGCUGGAGGUCACACGGUACUGCCCAGGUAGGUCUGGAAACCGGGAGAAAGCCCAAAGCUCCACCACCUCAUGUAGCCUGACAGAAAAAUGCACUGUGGUCAUAUUACUCAGUUAUAAAAACAGAAUGAAAUCAUGCCAUUUGCAGCAACAUGGAUGGAUGUAGAUAUUAUCAUACUAUUAACAUACUGAAGUAAGUCAGAUGGAGAAAG
ensembl:lncRNA